rnacentral:rRNA from 1 species
GACGGAGGGUGCUAGCGUUGUUCGGAAUUACUGGGCGUAAAGGGCGCGUAGGCGGCCGUUUGCGUCGGAUGUGAAAGCCCGGGGCUCAACCCCGGAACGGCAUCCGGUACGGGACGGCUGGAGACCGGGAGAGGAGGGUGGAAUAGCCAGUGUAGAGGUGAAAUUCGUAGAUAUUGGCUGGAACACCGGUGGCGAAAGCGGCUCUCUGGCCCGGUUCUGACGCUGAGGCGCGAAAGCGUGGGGAGCAAACAGG